GAGUUUGAUCAUGGCUCAGGAUGAACGCUGGCUACAGGCUUAACACAUGCAAGUCGAGGGGAAACGACGGGGAAGCUUGCUUCCCCGGGCGUCGACCGGCGCACGGGUGAGUAACGCGUAUCCAACCUGCCUCUGACUGAGGGAUAACCCGUCGAAAGUCGGCCUAAUACCUCAUGGCAUCGUCUGCGGGCAUCCAACGACGAUUAAAGAUUUCAUCGGUCAGGGAUGGGGAUGCGUCUGAUUAGUUAGUUGGCGGGGUAACGGCCCACCAAGGCUACGAUCAGUAGGGGUUCUGAGAGGAAGGUCCCCCACAUUGGAACUGAGACACGGUCCAAACUCCUACGGGAGGCAGCAGUGAGGAAUAUUGGUCAAUGGGCGGGAGCCUGAACCAGCCAAGUAGCGUGCAGGAUGACGGCCCUAUGGGUUGUAAACUGCUUUUAUGCGGGGAUAAAGUGAGGGACGUGUCCUUCAUUGCAGGUACCGCAUGAAUAAGGACCGGCUAAUUCCGUGCCAGCAGCCGCGGUAAUACGGAAGGUCCGGGCGUUAUCCGGAUUUAUUGGGUUUAAAGGGAGCGUAGGCCGUGGAUUAAGCGUGUUGUGAAAUGCAGGUGCUCAACGUCUGCACUGCAGCGCGAACUGGUUCACUUGAGUGUGCGCAACGCAGGCGGAAUUCGUCGUGUAGCGGUGAAAUGCUUAGAUAUGACGAAGAACUCCGAUUGCGAAGGCAGCUUGCGGGAGCACAACUGACGCUGAAGCUCGAAAGUGCGGGUAUCGAACAGGAUUAGAUACCCUGGUAGUCCGCACGGUAAACGAUGGAUGCCCGUUGUCAGGCUGUUUCAGCCUGGUGACCAAGCGAAAGCAUUAAGCAUCCCACCUGGGGAGUACGCCGGCAACGGUGAAACUCAAAGGAAUUGACGGGGGCCCGCACAAGCGGAGGAACAUGUGGUUUAAUUCGAUGAUACGCGAGGAACCUUACCCGGGCUUGAAUUGCAGACGAAGGCUUCAGAGAUGAAGAGUCCCUUCGGGGCGUCUGUGAAGGUGCUGCAUGGUUGUCGUCAGCUCGUGCCGUGAGGUGUCGGCUUAAGUGCCAUAACGAGCGCAAACCCCUUUCUUCAGUUGCCAUCAGGUGAUGCUGGGCACUCUGUAGACACUGCCACCGCAAGGUGUGAGGAAGGUGGGGAUGACGUCAAAAUCAGCACGGCCCUUACGUCCGGGGCUACACACGUGUUACGAAUGGCCGGUACAGAGAGUUGAUUUUGUGCAAACACGAAUCUAAUCCUUAAAUCCGGUCCCGGUUUCGGACUGGGGUCUGCGAACCCGACCCCGCGAAAGCUGGAUUCGCUAGUAAUCGCGCAUUCGAGCCAUGGCGCGGUGAAAUACGUUUCCCGGGCCUUGCACACACCGCCCGUCAAA
rnacentral:rRNA from 1 species